CUUCAGCGAGCCCAGCCGCAGCGGUUCCGCGUCGCCGCGUCCCACUCCGUACGUGGCGAGCAGCGCCUGGGCCUC
rnacentral:antisense_RNA from 2 species